GACGAACGCUGGCGGCGUGCCUAACACAUGCAAGUCGAACGAGCGGCGGACGGGUGAGUAAUGUCUGGGAAACUGCCUGAUGGAGGGGGAUAACUACUGGAAACGGUAGCUAAUACCGCAUACCAUCAGAUGUGCCCAUAUGGGAUUAGCUAGUUGGUAUGGUAACGGCUUACCAAGGCGACGCUCCCUAGCUGGUCUGAGAGGAUGAUCAGCCACACUGGGACUGAGACACGGCCCAGACUCCUACGGGAGGCAGCAGUGGGGAAUAUUGCACAAUGGGCGCAAGCCUGAUGCAGCCAUGCCGCGUGUAUGAAGAAGGCCUUCGGGUUGUAAAGUACUUUCAGUCGGGAGGCGUUACCGACAGAAGAAGCACCGGCUAACUCCGUGCCAGCAGCCGCGGUAAUUC
rnacentral:rRNA from 1 species